rnacentral:rRNA from 1 species
AACCGUCGUAUUAUACGUCAUCGCCAAACGGGUAAUUACCGCGUGGCAACGUACCUUUUGUUUCGGACCACCACAGGGAAACUUGUGCUAUUCCCGAAUAACCCCUUACGGGGAAAGUUUUUCCGCCCAAAAAUCGGCCCGCGUCUGAUUACCUAGUUGGUGAGGUAUUGGCUCACCAAGGCGCCAAUCAGAAUUUGGUCUGAGAGGAUGACCACCCCCAUUGGGACUGAACCACGGCCAAACUUAAUACGGGAGGCAGCAUGGGGGAAUAUGGAACAAGGGGGGCAACCCUGAUCCACCCUUGCCGCGGGAUUGAUGAAGGCCCUAGGGUUGUAAAGUUCUUUUGGGCGGAAAGAUAAGGACGGUCCCGCAAAGAAUAACCCCCGGGCUAACUUCGGGCCAGCAGCCGCGGUAAUACGAAAGGGGGCUAGCGUUGCUCGGAAUUCACUGGGCGUAAAGGGGGCGUAGGCGGGUCUUUAAGUCAGGGGUGAAAUCCUGGAGCUCAACUCCAGAACUGCCUUUGAUACUGAAGAAUCUUGAGUCCGGAAAAGGUGAGUGGAACUGCGAGUGUAGAGGUGAAAUUCGAAGAUAUCCGCAAGAACACCAGUGGCGGAAGGCGGCUCACUGGGCCCGGUACUGACCGCUAAGGCACGAAAGCGUGGGGGAGCAAAACAGGAUUUAAGAUACCCCUGGUUAGUCAACGCCGUAAACGAUGGAAUGCCAGGCCGUUAGUGGGUUUACUCACUAGUGGCGCAGCUAACGCUUUAAGCAUUCCGCCUGGGGAGUACGGUCGCAAGAUUAAAACUCAAAGGAAUUGACGGGGGCCCGCACAAGCGGUGGAGCAUGUGGUUUAAUUCGACGCAACGCGCAGAACCUUACCAGCCCUGGACAUGUCCAGGACCGGUCGCAAAGAUGUGACCCUCUCUUCGGAGCCUGGAGCACAGGUGCUGCAUGGCUGUCGUCAGCUCGUGUCGUGAGAUGUAGGGUUAAGUCCCGCAACGAGCGCAACCCCCGUCCUUAGUUGCUACCAUUUAGUUGAGCACUCUAAGGAGACUGCCGGUGAUAAGCCGCGAGGAAGGUGGGGAUGACGUCAAGUCCUCAUGGCCCUUACGGGCUGGGCUACACACGUGCUACAAUGGCGGUGACAAUGGGAUGCUAAGGGGCGACCCUUCGCAAAUCUCAAAAAGCCGUCUCAGUUCGGAUUGGGCUCUGCAACUCGAGCCCAUGAAGUUGGAAUCGCUAGUAAUCGUGGAUCAGCACGCCACGGUGAAUACGUUCCCGGGCCUUGUACACACCGCCCGUCACACCAUGGGAGUUGGUUUUACCUGAAGACGGUGCGCUAACCCGCAAGGGAGGCAG